GUUGCUAUGUUCUGGCUACUUUCAUUUCAACGAUACAGAGAAAUUUAGCAUGGUCCUUGGACAAAGAUGACCCUAAUAUCACCUUUGAGUGCACAAAAUGUUU
rnacentral:snRNA from 16 species